rnacentral:rRNA from 1 species
UACCAUGCAAGUCGAACGAUGAACCACUUCGGUGGGGAUUAGUGGCGAACGGGUGAGUAACACGUGGGCAAUCUGCCCUUCACUCUGGGACAAGCCCUGGAAACGGGGUCUAAUACCGGAUAACACUCUCGCAGGCAUCUGUGAGGGUUAAAAGCUCCGGCGGUGAAGGAUGAGCCCGCGGCCUAUCAGCUUGUUGGUGAGGUAGUGGCUCACCAAGGCGACGACGGGUAGCCGGCCUGAGAGGGCGACCGGCCACACUGGGACUGAGACACGGCCCAGACUCCUACGGGAGGCAGCAGUGGGGAAUAUUGCACAAUGGGCGAAAGCCUGAUGCAGCGACGCCGCGUGAGGGAUGACGGCCUUCGGGUUGUAAACCUCUUUCAGCAGGGAAGAAGCGAAAGUGACGGUACCUGCAGAAGAAGCGCCGGCUAACUACGUGCCAGCAGCCGCGGUAAUACGUAGGGCGCAAGCGUUGUCCGGAAUUAUUGGGCGUAAAGAGCUCGUAGGCGGCUUGUCACGUCGAUUGUGAAAGCCCGGGGCUUAACUCCGGGUCUGCAGUCGAUACGGGCUAGCUAGAGUGUGGUAGGGGAGAUCGGAAUUCCUGGUGUAGCGU